rnacentral:tRNA from 1 species
GGAGAGGUGCCGGAGUGGUUAAUCGGAGCAGUCUGUAAAACUGUCGCCUUGACGGGCUACGCAGGUUCGAAUCCUGCCCUCUCCACCA